rnacentral:misc_RNA from 1 species
GAUGAAGAACGUAGCGAAAUGCGAUAAGUAAUGCGAAUUGCAGAAUUUCCGUGAGUCAUCGAAUCUUUGAACGCACAUUGCGCCCCCUGGUAUUCCGGGGGGCAUGCCUGUUCGAGCGUCAUUUCAACCCUCAAGCUCAGCUUGGUAUUGGGCCUCGCCGGUAACACGGCGGGCCUUAAAAUCAGUGGCGGCGCCGUUGGGUCCUGAACGUAGUAAUCUAUUUCGUUACAGGUGCCCCGCGUGCUUCUGCCAGCAACCCCAAAUUUUUCUAUGGUUGACCUCGGAUCAGGUAGGGAUACCCGCUGAACUUAAGCAUAUCAAUAAGCGGAGGA